rnacentral:rRNA from 1 species
AUUGAACGCUGGCGGCAUGCUUUACACAUGCAAGUCGAACGGCAGCGCGGGCUUCGGCCUGGCGGCGAGUGGCGAACGGGUGAGUAAUGCAUCGGAACGUGCCCAGUAGUGGGGGAUAGCCCGGCGAAAGCCGGAUUAAUACCGCAUACGACCUGAGGGUGAAAGCGGGGGACCGAAAGGCCUCGCGCUAUUGGAGCGGCCGAUGUCGGAUUAGCUAGUUGGUGGGGUAAAGGCUUACCAAGGCGACGAUCCGUAGCUGGUCUGAGAGGACGACCAGCCACACUGGGACUGAGACACGGCCCAGACUCCUAAGGGGGGGAACAGUGGGGAAUUUUGGACAAUGGGGGCAACCCUGAUCCAGCCAUGCCGCGUGCGGGAAGAAGGCCUUCGGGUUGUAAACCGCUUUUGUUCGGGAAGAAAUCCUCUGGGCUAAUACCCCGGGGGGAUGACGGUACCGGAAGAAUAAGCACCGGCUAACUACGUG